rnacentral:snRNA from 1 species
UUACUUGCGCAGUGGCAAUAUCAUAACCAAUGAAGUUAAUCUGAGGUGUGAUUAUUGCUAGUUGAAAACUUUUCAACGCACAUAUUCCUGAAAAGUCACAGCAGAU